rnacentral:rRNA from 1 species
UUGCGGCAUGGGGUGGGGUCGCGUCCUAUCAGCUUGUUGGCGGGGUGAUGGCCCACCAAGGCGUUGACGGGUAGCCGGCCUGAGAGGGUGACCGGCCACAUUGGGACUGAGAUACGGCCCAGACUCCUACGGGAGGCAGCAGUGGGGAAUAUUGCACAAUGGGCGCAAGCCUGAUGCAGCGACACCGCGUGCGGGAUGGAGGCCUUCGGGUUGUAAACCGCUUUUGUUCAAGGGCAAGGCACGGUUUCGGCCGUGUUGAGUGGAUUGUUCGAAUAAGCACCGGCUAACUACGUGCCAGCAGCCGCGGUAAUACGUAGGGUGCGAGCGUUAUCCGGAUUUAUUGGGCGUAAAGGGCUCGUAGGCGGUUCGUCGCGUCCGGUGUGAAAGUCCAUCGCCUAACGGUGGAUCUGCGCCGGGUACGGGCGG